GACGAACGCUGGCGGCGUGCCUAAUACAUGCAAGUUGAGCGCUGAAGGUUGGUACUUGUACCAACUGGAUGAGCAGCGAACGGGUGAGUAACGCGUGGGGAAUCUGCCUUUGAGCGGGGGACAACAUUUGGAAACGAAUGCUAAUACCGCAUAAAAACUUUAAACACAAGUUUUAAGUUUGAAAGAUGCAAUUGCAUCACUCAAAGAUGAUCCCGCGUUGUAUUAGCUAGUUGGUGAGGUAAAGGCUCACCAAGGCGAUGAUACAUAGCCGACCUGAGAGGGUGAUCGGCCACAUUGGGACUGAGAAACGGCCCAAGCUCCUCAGGGAGGCAGCAGUAGGGAAUCCUCGGCAACGGACGAAAGUCUGACCGAGCAACGACGCGUGAGUGAAGAAGGUUUUCGGAUCGUAAAACUCUGUUGGUAGAGAAGAACGUUGGUGGGAGUGGAAAGCUCAUCAAGUGACGGUAACUACCCAGAAAGGGACGGCUAACUACGUG
rnacentral:rRNA from 1 species